rnacentral:rRNA from 1 species
UACAGAGGGUGCGAGCGUUGUUCGGAAUUACUGGGCGUAAAGCGCGCGCAGGCGGCUUUCUAAGUCCGUCGGUGAAAGACCGGGGCUCAACCCCGUGUCAGCCACGGAUACUGGGAGGCUGGAGACAGGUAGAGGCAAGCGGAAUUCCGGGUGUAGCGGUGGAAUGCGUAGAUAUCCGGAAGAACACCGGAGGCGAAGGCGGCUUGCUGGACCUGGUCUGACGCUGAGGCGCGAAAGCGUGGGGAGCGAACAGG